rnacentral:misc_RNA from 1 species
AGUUGGAUCAUUGCAAGGCACUGGAACCGGAAAGGUAAGGGUUGCUUGUGCACGGUGUGACCUUUCGGGGCGCACCGUGUGCCAACCCAUCGAGAGAACUCGGCUGCUGCACGACCCAUCCUUUGGGGGUACUCCUCCCAGACGGUGGCUGAGCGAUGCACGGGCCGGGCGAGUCGGAGCCCUCGGGAAGUGUCGGGAGCCGUAAAACAGCUCUGCCAGGCAUACCCAUCGGUGCAGCUAAUCCCGCACUGUUUACAACUGGCCACGAUCGAUGUCUCGGCUCAGGGAACGAUGAAGAACGCAGCAAAAGGCGAUACUUGGUACGAAUUGCAGAGCCUAUGAAGUGCCAAACCUUCGAACGCAACCGGCGGCCGCGGGGUUUCCCGAUAAGGCCAUGUUGUGAUGAGGCCGUGAUGCAGCAAACGCACCCCUUCCUCUUUUGGGGCUGGGAGUGCUUUGUGAGGGGCGGCGCCGAAAGCGCGCAGCACCUUGAAAUGUGCACAGCUCGUUCGCACCACAGCGGGAAACCAACGUGUGUGUUUUGAACGUGGCAGCAGAAGCGAAAAACACUAGGCUGGGUCUCAUCGCAGCAGGACCACGGGCUGAACUUAAGCAUAUCAUUCAGCCCAGGAAAAGACAGCAACUGCGAUUCCCGUCGUAGCGGCGAGCGAGCGGGGAAAUGCUCUGCGCUGAAUCGUCGGCCCUCCGGUUGACGAAUUGUAGUGUGCUUGGGGCGAGCAGUCCCCACAAUCAGGCGAGGACGAAGUUCUCUGGAAAGCCCGGCAAGGAGGGUGAAACCCCCGUUCCGUCCUCGACCUGGGUGGGGCUGCCAGCCUCUUAUCGAGUAGUGCUGAUUGGGACUGCAGCGCGAAACGGCAGGUAUAUCUCUGCCAAGGCUAAAUAUCGCCCUGAGACCGAUAGCGCACAAGUAGUGCGAACGAAGGAUGAAAAGUACUUUGCAAAAAGAGUUACAAGUACCUGACAUCGUGGCCAGGUAAGGGGUAGACAGCGCUGCCUUCUGCUGGGCACCCGAAGGAGCCUCUGGCUCUGUAGGCAGGUCCAGCUGCCAGCGCGGGUUGUGCGGUGUCCUGCGGCUUCGGUGGCGUUGGAUGGGGUCAAACCCUGAAAAGCCCGGAGUUUCGUAGACGCCAAACGACUCGAAGGAUAUGCGGUGGGGAUCGGCCUUUGCGCCGCUGGCCGGCCAUCUGUAGACGCAUGCGUCGAAGGGUGCGUCGGACUUCUGCGUGCGGGCUGUAACCUUUGCUGAUGCUGGUCAAUGGUGGGGUCUACCCUCCCGUCUUGAAACACGGACCAAGGAGUCCAACUUGUAUGCAAGUGCUUUGGUGAUGGAAACCAAUGCGCGUACUGAAAGGGAAGGCGUCCUCCGGGCGCUGUGGUGCGAAGGUGGCCCUCGGGCUGUCCGCAGCAUCCAUCGGUCUGGAUCCAUGGAAAAAGAUCUGAAUGCGAGCAUACAGGUUGGGACCCGAAAGAUGGUGAACUAUGCCCGCACAGGACGAAGCCGGAGGAAACUCUGGUGGAAGUCCGUAGCAGUGUUGACGUGCAAAUCGCUUGCAUGAUUUGGGUAUAGGGGCGAAAGACUCAUCGAACCAUCUAGUAGCUGGUUCACUC